CACGUAGGAGGCAAACGUUAUCCGGAUUUACUGGGCGUAAAGCGCGUGUAGGUGGUUCUGUAAGUAGGGCGUGAAAGCUCCCGGCUCAACUGGGAGAGGCCGUUCUAAACUGCAGAGCUAGAGGAUGGUAGAGGGAGGUGGAAUUCCAGGUGUAGCGGUGGAAUGCGCAGAUAUCUGGAGGAACACCAGUGGCGAAGGCGGCCUCCUGGACCAUUCCUGACACUCAGACGCGAAAGCUAGGGUAGCAAACGGGAUUAGAUACCCCUGUA
rnacentral:rRNA from 1 species